GCGAAGCAGUAUGAGAUGGUUAUCCCAAUGCUGCACGCCAAGUUUCAUUUUUAAAACAUUACUUAGGAUGCAACUUUGAAGAUAAAGAGCUGCCACACCAACCCUAGUCCGUGACAGAGGUGUAGCUUACUGGCAACCUGGCCUCUACAGCAGGAAGGUAUUUCUCUGGAUCCUGGCCCACUUCCUGUUAAGGGUUCUCUGUGUCUCAAAGCAUCUCCUUCCUGUGAAGAAGCACAGAGUUGCUCAGACGUCUGCUUCCAACUUCAAAGCCUUUAGAAUUUUAUGUAUCCUUUCCACCUACUGUCUAGCAUUUAUUCUCAGAGCUUUCUGGCAUGGAUUACGCUAAAGCCUCAUUUGUGUAAAAUGUGGGCGGGUUGACAUAGGUCUUUGCUCUUGUAUCUGUCGGAAUCAAAGGAGAAAUGUCUGGUCAAAUACAUGAUAUUCAUAAACCUCAUAUUGCCAAGUGACAACCACCUGAGCAUUUCUGGGUCAAUUCUAAUGUAAUUGUUAAUCAAAGCACAGUCUAUUUUCCUUAAUUACAGGUCAUCUUUGCUUAUUUCAACCCUUGCCAUGGAAUUUUUAGGCUGUGCUGAAAUUGAUUAGUGCCUGGUCAGUACACAUCAAUCCUAAAUCUUGUUGUAUCCAUAGCUGGGCUGGAGAGAUCAGGGAUUAGAGGAAGCCUGUGUGAUUCCAUCAAUAAUCUUUUGAGACUCAAAGAUUGUUUAAUGCACUGUUUGAGCUAGCUUUUGGGAUUGGCUUCGCCACUGAUCCUAUGCCAUGGAAACACAGACAGUUUGAAACCAUCCUUGACUCUGCUGUUUUCCGGGAAAACAGGAGGUCUAAGCGUUGAAUCUAGAUCAAUCUGCCAGGAGGUAAAUAAGGAAACCAUGGAAAAAGCAACCCAACAGUAUUGCCCUAGCAACAAUGAGAGGACAAGCAACUAUUUAUCUGGCUCCAUAUAUAUGUGUUUUGUAUGUAAUUAUUUUUUAAAGAUUCAUGGUUUGUUUUGCCCAAGGAAGUAGACUCAGAGAGAUUUAAGGGAGAGCUGGUCCAUAAGGAUUCUAUUAGUGACAGGCUCUUCCCAACCACAUUCAAAAUGUUUAUGGACACAGAUAACUAAGAGAUAAACGGGACUUUUCACAUUUGUUACUGAUUAUGGUCACAUUGAAUGGGACUGUUUGGGGUGAUGGCUUUUCUGUGGCCCUUUCAGGGGAAUCUGUGAGGUCACAAAACUCAGAGUUUUUGCUUUUUUCUUUUUUUUACAAUAUUUACAAAAUUUGCAAUCAUGGGUGAAUCUGUUGGUGCCUUGGGAUGAAUUGAAGCUGGCCCCAGACUCUACCAAGAGUUGUUCUCCUUUCGUGGCCAAUGGACUCAUGUGAAAAGACCCAUGGAAUGAAUGCCUGAUGCACUUAAGAAAGUCCUUGAUGAAGCAAUAAAAACUGUUAAUGUUCUUAAGUCUCUACCUGUAAGUGUACAUCUUUUUAAUAUUUUGGGUGAGCAAGUGGAAAGUGUGUAUAAAGCACUUCUAUUGCUUCCCACAGUGCAGUGGUUGUCUUGAGGAAAACCACUUAUACAAUUGUUUGAAUCAGGAGCUCAACUCAUUGCUGUUUUUUCCUUUAACACCAUUUUAACUUGCAAGAACAAUUCCAUUUCUCUUAUUAUAUUUUUAGAGAUACAGCAAUUUCUUGUAAAAAUAUGUUAUGUUAACAUGUAAUGGGUGUACCAGUGUUAUUUUUAAAUGAGUUAAUAUGUAACUAUUCAAGUUUUUUCAGUUUUAAUUUCUAUAUGAUAAAUAACCCACAUAAAGGAGGAUUUGGGGGGCUUCAAUACUUUUAAGAGUGCCAAAACGUUCUGAAAUAAAAAAGUUUGAGAACUAUGGCUCUGGGGUAAUUUUUCUGAAAUAAACUCACUUUUGCCUGUAUAGUCUCUGGUAACUUCAGCGUUAUGACGUUUCUGUAAUUCUAAGAUUCUUUGAUUUUGAUUUUAACACUCUGAGCUUUUUACAAGAUACUGGAUCAGGAAAACAUGGAGGUCUGGCCUGAUUAGAGAGAGGUCUCUUAGUAGUUAGCUAUCUGCAUUAGACAGAUUUCAGUAGGAACUGGCAUUCAUUCCUUCAUUUUUUCCGACAGACAUUUAUUGAGUAUUUGCAUCGUGCAAAUCAUGGUGUUGGUUGAUGUGGAGGAUACACAGUGAAUCAUACUUAGAGGCAUUCGAUUGGAAUCUCUGUGAAAGCAGGAAUCUUGUCUUCUCCAUGUUGGGAGGCAGUGUGGAAAAGGCGGAAGUUGGUAGAAAUCCACAUCAUUCUCUAGCUGUGUCUCCUUGGGCAGGUUACUUAGCCUCUCUGAGCCUUUUCUUUAUUUGUAAUGUGAUACCUAACCUUUUGGUUUAUUUUGAUAAUUAGUAACGGCAUGACAUAAAAUGCUUUUGCAGUAUCCUGGGAUUUCAUAUCUAAGCUACAUAAAUGGCUUUACUUUAUAGCUAUUUGCCAACCCAGGGAGCAUAGAAACAAAUACAUUUUCAAACAGGAAAUUCUAUACAUGUGUGUAAAAAUAAUCUUUGUUUUUAAAGUCUAAUUUAGUAAAGCAGAAUUUGUUUAUUUAUUUUCUCUUUUUUUUCCCUUCUAGUUUUAUUGAGGUAUAAUUGGCAAAUAUAAUGCAUAUACUUAAAGUGUACAAUGGGGUGAUUUGAUUUACAUAUAUGUUGUGAAAUCUUUACUGCAGUCAAGCUAAUUAACACCUCCGUCACCUCACAAAGUUACCGUGUGUGUGUGUGUGUGUGUGUGUGUGUGUGGUGAGAAUGUGUAAGAUCUACUCUGUUAGCAAAUUUCAAGUGUACAAUACAGUAUUAUUAAAUAUAGUCUGAUCCUCAGAACUUA